rnacentral:rRNA from 1 species
ACGAGUGGCGAACGGGUGAGUAACACGUGAGCAACCUGCCCUUGACUUUGGGAUACCAGCUGGAAACAGCUGCUAAUACCGGAUAUGACCUCGUUUCGCAUGAUUCGGGGUGGAAAGCUCCGGCGGUCAGGGAUGGGCUCGCGGCCUAUCAGCUUGUUGGUGAGGUAAUGGCUCACCAAGGCUUCGACGGGUAGCCGGCCUGAGAGGGCGACCGGCCACACUGGGACUGAGAUACGGCCCAG